ACCAGGAUGGUGUAGUGGUUUGAGCAUUGGACUAUGAUUCUAGAAAUCAGGGUUCAAAUCCUGGCCUGGCC